UUUUAUUAGAUGGGUAAUGAAUUCAGUUUCUGCUUGAAAUUUCAGAUUUUGCCUUCAAAGGAUUGCGAAGAAAGCAAAAAAUUUCCAGGGAAUAAGUUAUUCAAAGCUUGCGAAUUUACCACCUAUAGUCGGCCUCUACUCAAGCUUCGUGGGAUGUAGAUUUUUAUGUGAAGACAGUCAUAUCUUGCUGCUGCUGUUGCUUCAUGGGAUGCAGAUUUUUAUGUCAAAGUUGAUGAUGAUGUUCAUGUAAAUAUAGCAACACUAGAAGAAACUUUGGCAAGAUACAGGAAAAAGCCACGGGUGCAUAUCGGAUGUAUGAAAUCUGGUCCUGUCCUUGCUCAGAAGUAAGUGGAAUUUUGUCUUAAAAUUCUUGCUCUUAACUGGAUGUUGAGAAAGUGUUAAGCUUUUAGAUGUC